rnacentral:rRNA from 1 species
UUUGAUCAUGGCUCAGGAUGAACGCUGACAGAAUGCUUAACACAUGCAAGUCGAUGGGGAAGUGGUGCUUGCACCAUGGUAACCAUGGCGGACGGGUGAGUAACGCGUAAGGGACUUACCUGCAGGACUGGGAUAACAGGGGGAAACUCCUGACAAGACCGGAUAAUGUCAUGGAGCUGCAUGGCUUUAUGAUGAAAGGAGACGCCUGCGGAGAGCCUUGCGUCCUAUUAGCUAGUUGGUGAGGUAAUGGCUCACCAAGGCGAAGAUAGGUAGCCGGCCUGAGAGGGUGGACGGCCACAAGGGGACUGAGAUACGGCCCUUACUCCUACGGGAGGCAGCAGUGGGGAAUAUUGGACAAUGGGGGCAACCCUGAUCCAGCAAUUCUGUGUGCACGAAGAAGGUUUUCGGAUUGUAAAGUGCUUUCAGCAGGGAAGAAGGAAGUGACGGUACCUGCAGAAGAAGCGACGGCUAAAUACGUGCCAGCAGCCGCGGUAAUACGUAUGUCGCGAGCGUUAUUCGGAAUUAUUGGGCAUAAAGGGCAUCUAGGCGGCCUGACAAGUCAGGGGUGAAAACCUGCGGCUCAACCGCAGGCCUGCCUUUGAAACUGUGAGGCUGGAGUACCGGAGAGGUGGACGGAACUGCACGAGUAGAGGUGAAAUUCGUAGAUAUGUGCAGGAAUGCCGAUGAUGAAGAUAGUUCACUGGACGGUAACUGACGCUGAAGUGCGAAAGCCGGGGGAGCGAACAGGAUUAGAUACCCUGGUAGUCCCGGCUGUAAACGAUGAUUACUGGGUGUGGGCAGUAAGACUGUCUGUGCCGAAGCAAUGCGAUAAGUAUCCGCCCUGGGGAGUACGGCCGNCAGGCUGAAACUCNAAGGAAUUGACGGGGACCCGCACAGCGGUGGAGCAUGUGGUUUAUUCGACGCACGCGAGGACCNUUACCAGAUCUGACAUCCCGCGAUGCCUGUGANAUGGGCAGUGCUUUGGGAACGCNGAGACAGUGGUGCAUGCUGUCGACACUCGUUUCCUGAAAUUUUUGGGUAAGUCCGGCA